rnacentral:rRNA from 1 species
ACAACUUUCAACAACGGAUCUCUUGGUUCUGGCAUCGAUGAAGAACGCAGCGAAAUGCGAUAAGUAAUGUGAAUUGCAGAAUUUUGUGAAUCAUCGAAUCUUUGAACGCACAUUGCACCUUUUGGUAUUCCGAAAGGUAUGCUUGUUCGAGCGUCGUUUAAACUCUAUCAAUUUAAUUAUUGAUGUAUUGAGGUUUGAAUAGUCCAAAAAACUGUUCUCCUCCAAAAAGAUUGAAGCGACUCAGGAAUCUGAUUGAUAUUGAACGCAUUA